rnacentral:rRNA from 1 species
AUUGAACGCUGGCGGCAUGCUUUACACAUGCAAGUCGAACGGUAACGGGCCUUCGGGUGCUGACGAGUGGCGCACGGGUGAGUAAUGCAUCGGAACGUACCCAGAGGUGGGGGAUAACGCAGCGAAAGCUGUGCUAAUACCGCAUGUGAUCUGAGGAUGAAAGCGGGGGACCGAGCAGCAAUGUUUGGCCUCGCGCCUUUGGAGCGGCCGAUGUCGGAUUAGCUAGUUGGUGGGGUAAAGGCCUACCAAGGCGACGAUCCGUAGCUGGUCUGAGAGGACGACCAGCCACACUGGGACUGAGACACGGCCCAGACUCCUACGGGAGGCAGCAGUGGGGAAUUUUGGACAAUGGGCGCAAGCCUGAUCCAGCAAUGCCGCGUGCGGGAAGAAGGCCUUCGGGUUGUAAACCGCUUUUGGCAGGAACGAAACGGUGUCCGCUAAUACCGGGCGCUAAUGACGGUACCUGCAGAAUAAGCACCGGCUAACUACGUG